UUUUGUCUCCCUCCGUGAUUCUGAGGCCUCCCCAGCCAUGUGGAACUAAAGAGUGUUUCCUGCCUCCAUUAAAUCCAUCCACCAGGGUUAUUUAUCAUCCCCAUGUCAUGGACUACAGUACACCAUAAAGAGGACCCCAGCAGUGACUACAGUUGGUUCUAGAAAAAGGAGACCCCUCAUCCGCCUCUGCAAGACUAUACAGCAUGAUGUGUAUCCUCAGGCCUCCACUCCUCCGCCCUAGUCUGGAGCCCUGGGACCACCACAUGAGGAAGGCAGCUGGCCCCUGGAAUAAGCAUGUGGAGGACACUCAGAAGGAUGCCCAUCUGCUCUGAGUGUCUCCUAAUUCUGCCUGACCUUGGUUACUUCCUCUGGACAAUCGCCUUUACCUAUCUACCAGGUUUUGAGGAAUUACACACAGCUCAGGUAUAAGAGAUAUUCGGUAAGUCUGAUCAAAUCAAUAAAGCAAAUUUUAUCUGUUUUUGUCUGGGA
rnacentral:lncRNA from 1 species